AUUUCUAUUUCAAAAAUAGUUUUCUAUUUCAUAACUAAUGACCAGAUAAUAGCAUCUGUUAUUCAUGUUAAUUUUUACCUACUGAUGAAAUACAUACACAUUUACAGUCAAAUGCAU